GGAUGAAUAAAGUUUUGAAGCCCUUGGAGCCUCCUGCAGGUAUGUUCUCAGUGUGCCACCAAGGAAGAAUUGUAGACAAGCGGGCAGGCACCAGGUGACAGAAGCUUCUGUGGCUGUUGUGUUACAGAUGUGUCUACAGGGAAGACUUCUCCAGCUUCUCCAGCUGCUACCUUGGAUGCUGCACUCAAGCCCAGCUCCCAUCUCAGGGGUCCUCUGGCAGGAGAGACCAAAGACAUGGCAGGCAGGAAAUUCCAGGACCCAUUAGAAAUCAUGUGGCAAAUGCUGAAGGAACAUCUGCAGAGAAGGCAAGAAAUGAAAGGAGAGCCUGCGGAGAAAGAAGCAUUUCCCGGAGGAAGCAGUGGUUGCAUGCCAGCCUCAGCUCCAGGAAGGGAGGCCAUGCCAGGCACAGGCACAGGAG